UGGGGAAUUUUGGACAAUGGGGGCAACCCUGAUCCAGCAAUGCCGCGUGAGUGAAGAAGGCCUUCGGGUUGUAAAGCUCUUUUGUCAGGGAAGAAACGGUCCGGGCUAAUAUCCUGGGCUAAUGACGGUACCUGAAGAAUAAGCACCGGCUAACUACGUGCCAGCAGCCGCGGUAAUACGUAGGGUGCGAGCGUUAAUCGGAAUUACUGGGCGUAAAGCGUGCGCAGGCGGUUGUGCAAGACAGAUGUGAAAUCCCCGGGCUCAACCUGGGAAUUGCAUUUGUGACUGCACGGCUAGAGUGUGUCAGAGGGGGGUAGAAUUCCACGUGUAGCAGUGAAAUGCGUAGAGAUGUGGAGGAAUACCGAUGGCGAAGGCAGCCCCCUGGGAUAACACUGACGCUCAUGCACGAAAGCGUGGGGAGCAAACA
rnacentral:rRNA from 1 species